rnacentral:SRP_RNA from 1 species
UAUCGGUUCCCUCGCGACGUGAAACUGUGAACUCCGCCAGGUCCGGAAGGAAGCAACGGCAGCAGUGGAGUCGUGCGCCGAGGUGUAGCUGCUAAGG